rnacentral:rRNA from 1 species
UAGGGAAUAUUGGUAAUGUGCGAAAGCGCGAACCAGCAACGCCGCGUGCACGAUGAAGGCCUUCGGGUUGUAAAGUGCUUUUAGAGAGGAUGAGGAAGGACAGUACUUUCUGAAUAAGCCUCGGCUAACUACGUGCCAGCAGCCGCGGUAAAACGUAGGAGGCUAGCGUUAUCCGGAUUUACUGGGCGUAAAGCGCGUGCAGGUGGUUUCGUAAGUUGGAUGUGAAAGCUCCUGGCUCAACUGGGAGAGGUCGUUCAAUACUGCGAGGCGUGAGAGUGGUAGAGGGGGGUGGAAUUCCGGGUGUAGUGGUGAGAUGCGUAGAUAUCCGGAGGAACACCAGUGGCGAAAGCGGCCUCCUGGACCCUUUCUGACACUCAGACGCGAAAGCUAAGGUAGCAAACG